rnacentral:misc_RNA from 1 species
AGACAGUUGAACGAGAAGAAGGCUGACAUAUAUGCGUCUGAGUGACUGAAUCUAUCUCCAUCACAACAAUGCAUAUCCGCUUCCUAUACUCCCAAACUCCUCUAAACUAUGUCCGAAUUCUUCGAAUUGUUUCUCUAGUUUCCCAAAAGAAGGCGUAGAAGAAGUUCGGAAACUUGCCAUCCCUAAUUUUUUAACAACUAUAAUAAA